UACGGGGGGGGGCAAGCGUUGUUCGGAAUUACUGGGCGUAAAGGCUCGUAGGUGGCCAACUAAGUCAGACGUGAAAUCCCUCAGCUUAACUGGGGAACUGCGUCUGAUACUGGAUGGCUUGAGUGUGGGAGAGGAAUGCGGAAUUUCCAGGUGUAGCGGUGAAAUGCGUAGAUAUCUGGAGGAACACCGGUGGCGAAGGCGGCAUUUCUGGACCCAUAACUGACACUGAGAGACGAAAGCCAGGGAGCAAACGGGAUAGAAA
rnacentral:rRNA from 1 species